UACCAGCACCCCGAGUGGUCGGGACGAUUAUUGGGCCUAAAGCAUCCGUAGCCGGUUUUACAAGUCCCCCGUUAAAUCCAACUGCUUAACAGAUGGGCCGCGGAGGAUACUAUAAGACUAGGAGGCAGGAGAGGCAAGCGGUACCCAGUGGGUAGGGGUAAAAUCCGUUGAUCCAUUGAAGACCACCAGUGGCGAAGGCGGCUUGCCAGAAUGCGCUCGACGGUGAGGGAUGAAAGCUGGGGGAGCAAACCGG
rnacentral:rRNA from 1 species